CCCAGACUCCUACGGGAGGCAGCAGUGGGGAAUAUUGCACAAUGGGGGGAACCCUGAUGCAGCGACGCCGCGUGGGUGAAGGAGUACUUCGGUACGUAAAGCCCUAUCAGCAGGAAAGAAAAUGACGGUACCUGACUAAGAAGCCCCGGCUAACUACGUGCCAGCAGCCGCGGUAAUACGUAGGGGGCAAGCGUUAUCCGGAUUUACUGGGUGUAAAGGGAGCGUAGACGGCAGUGCAAGUCCGGAGUGAAAGCCCGGGGCUCAACCCUGGGACUGCUCUGGAAACUGUAAGGCUGGAGUGCGGGAGGGGCAGGCGGAAUUCCUGGUGUAGCGGUGAAAUGCGUAGAUAUCAGGAGGAACACCGGCGGCGAAGGCGGCCUGCUGGACUGCAACUGACGUUGAGGCCCGAAAGCGUGGGGAGCAAACAGGAUUAGAUACCCGAGUAG
rnacentral:rRNA from 1 species